UGGGGAAUUUUGGACAAUGGGCGCAAGCCUGAUCCAGCAAUGCCGCGUGCAGGAUGAAGGCCUUCGGGUUGUAAACUGCUUUUGUACGGAACGAAAAAGCUCUCUCUAAUACAGGGGGUGAAUGACGGUACCGUAAGAAUAAGCACCGGCUAACUACGUGCCAGCAGCCGCGGUAAUACGUAGGGUGCAAGCGUUAAUCGGAAUUACUGGGCGUAAAGCGUGCGCAGGCGGUUUUGUAAGACAGAGGUGAAAUCCCCGGGCUCAACCUGGGAACUGCCUUUGUGACUGCAAAGCUGGAGUGCGGCAGAGGGGGAUGGAAUUCCGCGUGUAGCAGUAAAAUGCGUAGCUAUGCGGAGGAACACCGAUGGCGAAGGCAAUCCCCUGGGCCUGCACUGACGCUCAUGCACGAAAGCGUGGGGAGCAAACA
rnacentral:rRNA from 1 species